UUUAGGAUUUGGAUUAGAGUUUGGACUAGGAUUUGAUUAGGGUUUGAUUUAAGGUUUGGUUUAGGAUUUAGGAUUUGGAUUAGAGUUUAGGGUUAGAUUAGGGUUUGGAUUAGGGUUUGGAUUAGGAUUUGGAUUAAGGUUGGAUUUAGGGUUUGAAUUAAGGUUUGGUUAGGAUUUGAUUUAAGGUUUGAUUUAGGGUUUAGGGUUGGUUUAGGGUUUGGUUUAGGAUUUGAUUUAGGGUUUGAUUUAAGGUUUAAGGUUUGAAAUAGGGUUUAAUUUAAGAUUUAUUUAGGAUUUGACUUAGGGUUUAGGAAUUAUUAGGAUUUAAGAUUUAAUUAGGUUUGGUCUAAAGUUGAGUGAAAUUCAAUAGGAUUUUAACUAGAAUUAAAUUAAGGUUGAAUUGACAUAUAUUUGAAUAAAAUUUGUGAUCAUUCUAAUAUUUUUUUAAGAAUUUUAUUGUUUGUUU
rnacentral:lncRNA from 1 species